GUUCCUGACUAGCCAAGGGAACUGCAGCACCAUAGGCAGCUCAGUGCUCGCGGGGAAUGAGAGCUCCUGGCUGGCUUCUGGGCCUGAACACAGAGGAGCCCUGAGGUUUGAGAUGGCGAUUCCCUGCUCGUCUCACAGCUAUUCAUCUGGGUGUACUUAGAGCGCAGAAGCAGAUCAUAGAGGCUUUUGGGACACUAAAUCGCUGUGUGCCACAGGCAGAUAACAGGCGAGACUGAGAUGCCACCACUGCACAAGACCCCUUCAGCUGCACAGGACUGAUGAGGACAGGAAGUAUAAAAGGAGGAUCUUGUAGCUCAGUUGGGGCUGGAACAGGGAAGGAGGCAGACGUCUUCUAGGAAGCAGAGCCCUCUCUGGGAUCCUGGACCAGUGGCCAAGCAGACUAGCAUCCUGCUGCCUGAGGAGACUGAAGGCUCUGAGAAGUUACUGGAGAGGAUGCCACCCACCUGCCAAGCAGCAAGAUGGAUCCUGGUGUUGACAGAGCAACAAAGGCGGAAUUGGAUCCAGCUGAGACACCAUAUGGUGAAGUGACUUGCCCAAAGCAACACAGCUGAGCGAGGAACAGAACCAAGAAUUGAACCCCGGAGUCCUGCUCUAACUAAGACAACCCUGACACCUAAGGUGCUGCAGUCUGGUUUCCCAGCCCCUCCCCCCCAUUACAAGACCCUGCAGAAGACCAGAGCACCUUCAAUACCUCAGUGGGAGAGAGCCUGCUCCUCUGAACCUCAUGCAGCUAUAAUUGACGAUCUCCUGCCCUGUAAGAAUCUCUACAUGGAGCAGAGGGCUCAACUAACCCAGCCCAAGUGAAAUUGACUGGAAACAGACAGGCACAAUGUGAUAAUGGCGUCAUAAGCCGCAAGGAAGUGAACUCCAAGGAACAGAGAAAUGAAGGGAUUUUUGUCAUAGGUACUGAACAGAAAUGCUGCUUGAACAGUUGGGAGAAAAGGUCUCUAAAUAGUUCCCCAGGUUGCAGUUUGUUGCUCCUCCAAGGAGAGUGCCACCAAAACCAGACUUUAUUUUUAAGUGAAAACAAUGAAAAGCGGGGUUUUCUGAGGGCACGAGGGGAACUUUCAGGCCCUCCAGCUCUGUCAUCAAGAAGCAAAAGAAUCUCUUUUCUUGCAAGUCACUUUGGAAAAGGAGGACGAGUGUCUGGGCCAUUCUGGGUGUCAGCAGUGGCUGCGGCUCACUCCAUUUUCUGGAACCACGGCACGUCUGCUCCAAGCACUUUUUCUGUGCCCAGCACUCACACCGACUAAUGAGAAUUUCUCUGGACAUGCAAAUAGGCUUCAUCAUAAUAGAUUGCAGACUAGCCUUCCUAGCUAAUAGUAGCUCUACCUGGUCCCCAGCUAAUUGGUGCAUUUUCAGUGGCCACUGCUCUGCAGGGUGAAUGGACAUUGGCUAAAGACCAGGGCUGGGUGUCAGGCUUCCUGGGUUCUAGUUUUGGCAGUGCCACAGACUCAUGGUGAGAAGUUGGAUAAAGUCAUACAAUCCCUCUGUGGUGGAGGGUAGCUUUUUUUUCUAAGCCGUUCCCUGUGCUAAGCUCUGUGGUAUCUCCAUGCUCAUCUUCCCCAUCUGCAGAGUAGAUACGAUACCUAAGAGGGCUAUAUGAGUCUGCAAUAAAGGUUGUUAGAGCACUAGAGGGUCUCCAAAUGGAUGAGACGAACAAAGUGCCAUUGAGACAGUCCUGGAGUCUUCACUUUCCAGCUGCCCUGCAGGGAAGAAUUUGAUCCAGUGGAUGCUAGGUCUCCAGGAUUGCUUUAGUAACAAAGCAAAACAGGAACUUUACUGGGUCGCAGUCCAAAAUACACAUCAAUCAUUAGGCAAACAGCACCCAACCACCUCCCCAAGACAGCACUGUGAUGUUUUCAUGGCACCUAAAAUCAUUUGGAAGGAUGAUUUUACAAACAGACGGGGAAUUGAGAUCCUGGUUGCAUUUUCCCUAACACACAAAUUCUGUUGUUGCUGGAAUGCUGUCUUAGUUACUGGGCUUUGGGGUUUUUUAUUUUAAUUCAGGCAGAUCAGUAUGGGGGAGUUGUCUAUUAAUAGGUGUUCCAGGAAGCUUAAGCAACUCAAGCAGAAGAAAACCAAAAGAAACUAAAGAGGUUCUGAUGGAAGAAUGUGCUGAAAUCAAAUGGGGCUUAAUUAGGAGAACAUGACUUUCCUAUUAAUGCUCCCCAUCCAUGUGACACAGGGAAAGAGAGAGGAAAAAAACUGCCAAAGAGCUUAUUUGUUUUGCAAUUA